CAGCCGCCACGGGAAUACGAAGGGUGCAAGCGUUACUCGGAAUUACUGGGCGUAAAGAGCUCGUAGGCGGUUUGUCGCGUCUGCCGUGAAAGUCCGGGGUUGAGCCCCGGAUCUGCGGUGGGUACGGGCAGACUAGAGUGAUGUAGGGGAGACUGGAAUUCCUGGUGUAGCGGUGAAAUGCGCAGAUAUCAGGAGGAACACCGAUGGCGAAGGCAGGUCUCUGGGCAUUAACUGACGCUGAGGAGCGAAAGCAUGGGGAGCGAACAGGAUUAGAUACCCCGGUAGUCCCUGUCUCUUAUAC
rnacentral:rRNA from 1 species